AACGUACGCUGGCGGCAUGCCUAACACAUGCAAGUCGAACGAGACCUUCGGGUCUAGUGGCGCACGGGUGCGUAACGCGUGGGAACCUGCCCUUAGGUUCGGAAUAACUCCCCGAAAGGGGUGCUAAUACCGGAUAAUGUCUUCGGACCAAAGAUUUAUCGCCUUUGGAUGGGCCCGCGUUGGAUUAGCUAGUUGGUAGGGUAAAAGCCUACCAAGGCGACGAUCCAUAGCUGGUCUGAGAGGAUGAUCAGCCACACUGGGACUGAGACACGGCCCAGACUCCUACGGGAGGCAGCAGUGGGGAAUAUUGGACAAUGGGCGAAAGCCUGAUCCAGCAAUGCCGCGUGAGUGAUGAAGGCCUUAGGGUUGUAAAGCUCUUUUACCCGGGAUGAUAAUGACAGUACCGGGAGAAUAAGCUCCGGCUAACUCCGUG
rnacentral:rRNA from 1 species